AGGAAAAGGACACGAGAGAGCGCCACGCACAGAGCGCUGUGUGCGUGUCGCUCUCUCGUGCCCUUGUCUUUUUUGCGCUGUGUCCUUUUUCCAAUGAAUCACCAACAUGCCCAACCUUCCCCGCUAAGUCGUAGCAGAGCCCUGGCAGCUGCGUAUAGAGUCUCCUCGUCAUCUUACAGGGCUGUUUCUCGCCUUGAUGCCUCAUCCCAAGAAACUUGUCACCCAAGUCGAGUUCGAGCUCCUUGCCAUAAACAAGAUGGCUACUCUUCGAGUCAGCGCAUGUAAUCACCGUUCUGCUUCUUCUUUCGGCAAUCAUUAGAGUUCGAAGAAUACAGAAAGCGCGGGCACCACUGUUUUCAAGGUCAGCCGCAGCAUCACGCCCUGAGAGAGGAACCAAGGUACAGCGCCCUUGGACGACCUUGCACCAAAUGGGCCCUCCAUAAUCAGCUGCUCCAGGAGGACCACCAUCAAAACAGCCGCCAAAACUACCACCACCCAUUUGCAUGAAGCCACCGGUCUUAGGCCUCUGUCAGCCAUUAAAUCAGUCCUGGUAUUUUGAGCCGAGACACAACCGAUGCAACAUGUUCUCCAUGGGCGCGUGUGGUGGAGGGCCUAAUAGGUUUCCAUCAGAAAAGAAGUGCAUGACCACGUGCGCACAGUCCAAAGGUAAAGUGCCGCCGAUGUGCUUGCAAAAACCUCUUACCGGUGACUGUGAAGCAAAAAGACACGCAUGGUACUUUGAUCAUAGAAAAAGGGAAUGCAAGAUGUUCACCCAUGGCACGUGUGACUCAGGCAGCAACUAUUUCGCAAGCGAAAGAAAGUGCAAAGAAGUGUGCCUGCAAGUAAAGAAUCCAGUACUCGUCUGCAGCGACAAGCCGAGAUCAGGCUAUUGUUUUGGCUUAAACACUUACUGGUAUUUUGACCAGAACAAGAACAACUGCUAUCACUUCAAGGGCUGGUGGUGCGCAAAAAAUGCUAACGGAUUUAUAUCUUACAAGGUCUGCAUGGACAGGUGCAGCUAUACCCGAAUACCCAGGAAUUGUCCACAAUGCAAAGAAAAGCCGGAGCCGCAACCUGACCAGAAGAAACAACCAGCAAAAGGGCGGAAAUAAAAGCAAUCUGUUCACGCACGAAGAAAUGUUUCCUCUAAAAACAUUUUUUAACUCAAUGUGCAACGCGUCAGUCCGGCAAUAUCUCAACAUUUCGUAGUGGAACAAGCCAUAGCAGUGUAAGAUAUGGCAGCAACUGUGCUGUCGACGUUCUUUCUGGAAAGACAAACACAGAACACCAGCAAGAAGCUGAAAAGAAAUGAGAAAGCUACGUUUACC